UCCAGUUUCAAUGUAUGAAUUGUAUAGAAAACAUUCAGACCACAGUCAUAAGAAUUUCAAGAUGAGAUCCAGGGUGGGCCCUAAAUUCAGCGACUGCUGUCCUUACAGGGGAAAGGAAAGGGCGACGUGAGACACAGGGGAGAAGACUGUCUGAGGAAGGCAGGCAGAGCCGCAGAGAUUUAGAGUUAUGCAACCCCAGCCAAGAAACACCACAAGCCACCAAAAAUUAGAAGAGGCACCACUCUUCUGGAUUUCCUGCUACAACAACAGAAUACCACAGACGCGGUAAUUUACAAUGAAAAGAAGUUUACUUGGCUCACUCAUCUGGAGGCUUCCAUCACAUCCAAGACCAAG
rnacentral:lncRNA from 10 species